rnacentral:rRNA from 1 species
GACGAGGGGUCCAAGCGUUAUUCGGAAUUAUUGGGCGUAAAGGGCGCGUAGGCGGCUAGAUGUGUCAAAGGUGAAAUCCCUCGGCUCAACUGAGGAACUGCCUUUGAAACUGUCUGGCUUGAGGCCGGGAGAGGGUAGCGGAAUUCCCAGUGUAGCGGUGAAAUGCGUAGAUAUCAGGAGGAACACCGGUGGCGAAGGCGGGUCUCUGGGCCGUAACUGACGCUGAGGAGCGAAAGCGUGGGGAGCGAACAGG